UCAGCACAGAGCCCGACCUGGGGCUCGAACUCACGGUCCAUGAUAUCAUGACCUGAGCCAAAGUCAGAUGCUUAACCGACCAAGCCACCCAGGCUCCCUCCACAAACUUCUUUUCACCUAAUCCUCCUAUUUCAGAUCCAUUUCACCCCCCGAGUUUCUCCAGAAGGGCUUCUCUGAUCAUUUCCACCACAGUCCGACUUUCACCUCUAAAUCUUUCUGAACCUGUCCUCCCCAAAGGCAUUAAGGACCUGUUGAUGAACCAUAUCCAGUAGCUCCCUUGCAGGAUGUCCCCCUCCCUUAGAUAUUAUAAACUAUUGUCUCCAUCCUGAAAGUCUGCCCUGCUUUUUCCCCGGGCCAGCGCUCCCUCUGGUUCUCACCCCGUCAGCACCCCUCCAUCCUUCCCUGUCUCUUCUGCUGGCAGCUCAUCCUCAUUUCCCAGGGGUGGAUGUUCCCCAGGGAUCUGUCACUGGGCUUCUCUCUUUAAUCUCUAUUUGCUCCCUGUGAAAUUUUAUUUUGUCAGUUCCUUCUCUCAUUUCUAGGUGGGUGAUUUCCAAAUUGACAUGGCAAGUUUGACCUCUCUACUGUGCCAUAAGAUAUUUCCCCAUAGUUACCAUGAGCUAUUUCCCUGUCUCGCCAGGUACCUCAAAUUCCAAAGUUUAUUCAGUGUCUCAAAUUAUCCGGCUUGUCCCGGGUAAUAUCCAUACACAGAUUAAUAAAGCACAGUUUGUGCAAACAAGAGGUUUAAUCCAAGCUGGAAAUGAUAGUCGUCUUCAAUAUAUUCUCCCCCUAACUUCCCGUCUCCAACCCACCUUUCAUAUCACUGUAAUACUUAGCUUUCUAAGGCACAAUUGCCUGGAAGCUUCCUUUGCCUUGCUAUCAUCCAAGGUAAAAAUUUGCAGCUCUUCCACUCCUUUCCCUUAUUCUUUCCAGCCAAAGAAGGUGUUUAUUUUAUGCCUCUGUGCCAUUGCUCAUGCUGUUCCCUUCUAGAAGAAUGUUCUUCCUCUUUUUCUCACCUAUUAAACUUUCACUGUCUUUUAAGGUUAAACUCAAAUGCCACCUCAUGUUGUCUCUCCUGCCUCUAACAGAAUGGCAUCUGGGAUUUCUUAGCUCUUUGAAUUUUGUCUAAAUUCUUGUUAUGGCAAAUAUCCUGAAUGACUGUGGUUGUAGGACCUAUAUCUCUCUGAGCAGUUACAAAGCAGGGACUGGGUUUUAUUUAAGUUAGUUCCCCUGUAGGACAGUCUUUCCCACACUUUGAGUUCACAAUGCCCUUGAUGUGUCAGCAAUUUUUCAGGAUGCCCAUAGGCCCAUAGAAAUACCUGAUAGUUUCGCUUAUUCAAUAGUUAGGUCCAAAAAACCAUAAAUAUUUAUGUCCUAACAACUCAGCAGCUUUUUGAGAACAAAUAAUACAUACACAUUGAAGGGAAAUCUUAAGAUUUUUAUUCCAUUUUAAAAUAAUGAUAAUUACUUGCCAACGAGAUAUGUAUCCUUAUUAGGUAUUGCACAGCUUCUUAAAUCUUAGACUCCAGUUGGAAGUCCCCACCGUCAUUUCCUACUCUGCCCUGAUUUUCAUGCAGUGCUUGCUUUUCACACAGCCGCUGCCCUACCCGGCUUCACAAGGAUAUGAUGUCACUGAAAAAGAUGUAGUCUGAUCUAACAGAAACUGUGAACUACCUCGGGCCAGUGGUUCUCAUGCUGUCUGACACAUGUCACUGUGUUUUUUUCAAAAAUAUUAGGUAUCCGGUGGUGUUCCUGAGACCUUGCUUCACCACCAACAGGCCACUGAGAACGGCUGGGGACUGUGGCUCCAGGGCUGAGCACCAGGCCCGCUCCACCAUGGGAUCCUGGCAGAUGGAAUUGGGUCCAGUUGUGUGUAUGGGUCAUUGGAUGUAGAUUUACCUCACAUCUCAGGCCCAAACAGCUUUUAUAAAGAAUGAAAGCUUCUCUAAAGAAUGUGUAGGAUUAGGAGAAUUAUUAUUAUCAUGAUUUCAAACAGAACCAAGGACCAAAUACCACUGGAGUGGUAAAUCCUUCAAAGCCAUAUUUCCAUUCAUCUAGCAAUUGCAAAUAGGAGCUUUGUUUGAGCUGCUAUUUUCAAGAAUGAAAUGGGUAGCAGAGGAUGUCAACUUGGAGUCUGUUUAUGCAACCAUUGUUUGUUUAUUUGAAGUUGUAGGUUCUCUGGAGGACAGUGUAUACAGUUUUUGUCAGCUCCCCAAAGUGAUUCGUGACCAAAACAGUAAAAUUUGAGUCGUAACAUUAAACAAAAUAUUUAAAAAUCAGGAAUGCCAUGUUACUACUAAUCUCAAAGAUGGUGUGUUGCCAAAAUUGAUCUUGUUGAUACAAAAUAAUUUUAAUUUUUUUCCCAGAAUUGACCCUUUGUCAGUUGAGAAUGAAACAUAGAGGAUUCACCACUUUUUUAUUUAAUUAUUCUUCCAUUUAUUUCCCUCACUUUAUAAAGAUGCCUCUCUCCUUUAGAAAUAAUUUAGAAUUUUGUGACUUACUUCCAAAAUGAACAAAAUGAUUUCUUGUCUUCUUUUGUUUUGUAGAUCUUAAUUUUCCUGACAAACAAAAAUUUCACUUGGAAAAUAACAUUUUCCAAAAUACAUAUCCUUAUGUAAUUUAUGAUCUCCUUAUGACAUUCUGGCUAAAUUGAUGGCAUUUAAUAUACUCUCUGGCUUGGAUGGAUCUUCCAAGAGAUUAAAAACCUUAAUAUGAAAAAACCAGCCAAAUGCUGAAUCUGUUACUACAUGAUCUCAUAGAUUAAAAACAAAAUGAAACAAACAAACAAACAAACAAACAAACAAAAUCCUUGUAAUUUAUUGGGUUAUUACAAAAUAUCCCAGUGGUUGGCAUUGUGUAGACCUAACAUCUAAAUAAUUGCUUCAAUAAACUCAAGAGGUCUCAGAUUAAAUAAUUGCUGUUAAUAACAGAUAUGUAAACAGAGCUUUGCCUGUUGUUCCUCACUGUUCUGAACAAUACUGUUCUUGUCUUUCUAUCCAGCUCAGCGUAUGCCCCAAAUCUUCACCAUCCCUGCUUCUCCAGCUAGGAGUGAAAUCUCGUUUCCCUAAAUUACUAUAAAGUUCUAAUCUUUAACAGACAACGUGAAGCAACUAUGUUCUUCUCAGCCUCAAAUUUAGAUUUAUUCUCCAUCCCUCAUCCCAGUGCUUCAUAUACACUCAGGAAGUGAAACCUAUAACCUGGUUUUGACCAGAAGCUUCUAGAGCAAAGAGUUGGUUUUGUUACAUAUUUGAAAAAUUACUUCUUUUCUUUAUCCUACUGUCCACUUUAGUUCAACCUCUUAUUUCUUAUUAUCUGUAUACAAUUGUUAGAGACCCUCCUCAACCAUGUUCCUACCUCUGUUUUCUUCCCACCCCAAUCUGCUUGACCCAACUUUCUGACUUAUUCUUAACACUGCAUAGCUCAAUUAGACUGUUCUGUUUUUAAACCCCAUUAUGGCUCCCAUCGCCUAGGAUAGGCCUUCACUGUAUGCCUCAGCUCAACUUUACAUCCUCACCCUCAACCAUUGCCCUAGAAUUCACUCCAAUUACAUUAUCUGGCACUGAACCUAUAUGGCUAAUUUUCAGCCUUGUGAUUUCUCCACUUGUACACUUUCAUAACACUGAAUUGUGAUCAUUUGCUAGUGAACAUUACAGUUCUUUAUAUAUUCAUCUUCCCUUUUUACUCCCUUGUAAGCUUUUUCCAUACAGUAAGAUUCGUUUAUUCAUACAUUCAUAGUGGAUUGUUUCCCUGCUGAUUGCCAAGCAUUUGGUAGGAACGGAUGUUCAAAGUUGAAAGAUGACUAAGCCCUGUAUGUACUUAGCGCACAGAAAGCAUUUGUUGAAUUAAGUUUUAAUGGUUUUCAAUCAGAUAAUAAUUAAAUUGAGUUGGAUCCUACUUUUGUAUUCCUUUAUAUAUAUUUUAACUGUGCCAGUCUUAUCUCUCCAAGAGGAGAGGGACCCUAUCUUAUUAAUCCUUUAUAUUCCCCAGAUGGUACUCUACAGAUAUACCUGCAAUGGAUUUUCAGUAAAUUCAUCUUGGUUGAAUGAUCAAACAUUUGAUUUUCUUCCAUACAUGUGAUGUCAUGUGACGUGGGCCCAUCACGUAUACAAAGCAAGACUGACUGACGUUGCAUGGAGUGCAAAACUUGAGUUGACUGUGCUUACUUACGCACGGGGAGCCUUUGCCAAUAUUUAAUUUUUACUUUUGCACGUGGAGUUUUCUGAAGCCAAAAUAGCAUUCAAAAUGAGUUAACCUAUCACUUGAUCUUUUGAGAAUCUCAAAUAUUGGUUUAGUUCUUGUUUUCUUAUCAAGACAUCCAAAUAUUGGGCAAAGACAGAUCUAAAUGUCAGAAAUCACUCCAAAACAUUUGUAUACAUUUUGAAUAAUUUUUAAUGUUAACUUAGCUUUUUUCAUAAGAUUUCUUUACAUCAUUGUACAUAGAGAUGAGUAGAUAUAAAGAUUUAAACAAGAUUAUCUAUUCAAUUCAACAACUCUUACUGAGUAGCCAGUAUAUAAAAAUGCAGGAUUCCAUAGGAGAAUACUGCCCUGGUAAAGGUCAGGUAUUAAGGCACCCAUCAGGUCUUUUGUUCUGCUGUGCUUUUGUGGGUGUGUUCAGGGAAAUGUGAACUUCAACUGCCUGAAAACCAAAAAAAAAAAAAAAAAGUGCAAAUCUGUGAUGACUAUAAUAACCAAGUCCAAGUGAAAUUCUGUCUAUAAAGCACAUAGUAGGUGUUCAAUAAACAUUAGUUAACUUUCCCCUAAUGGCUGGGAAUAGAAUUAAUCAACUAUUUACAGUAGAGUGGAGUGAAUAGGAAAUUCUUAUUAGAAACUUUCAUUUAACCAGAAGGACUCAAUUGUUAUUGUGCUUUAGUUGCAUUUAUCAGAUGACUGUUUAUUAUUUUCCUUCCCCUGCAUGAUAGAACUAUCGAAUAUCAAAGAAGAAAAAAGGAAAGUGAAACAAAGAAAGCCUUAAAAUAUAACAUGCUGAAAGUAUUGUGAAAUCGGUGAGGCACCUAAAGUGGGAGAGAUCAUGCUGGAAGAAAACACAAAACAUGUAUUACAAGUGACCUGCUUCGGAGGAUAACGAAAAGAAAUGAGAAUGUACCAAAUUUCUAGAAGAGAACAGGAUUGCACGGCACCCUACGGGAUGGCUUGCCCUCGGCCUGAGGUUCAUGGUAAUCUUCCAUUCUGUGCCUUUUCUGAGAGACUGGCUUACCAGAGCUGGAGUGUGAGCAGGGACUUAUAACGGCUGGAAGCUCGGCCUCCACAUCCAGCACCCAGGAGCUUCUCCACUCGGCCAGGAAAUUGCCCAGCUGGAUGGUGUCUUGGGAUUGCUCUCCUGGUCCUCAGAAAGGAAGGACAGCAACACCAGCAACAGCUGGCAUCUCUACCUGGUCAAAUAGCCAAGUGGUUAUGAAGGAGACCCUCAGUAACUAUCAGUGGUGGCGGUGGGAAUGGGGUGGGGGGAGGGGAUUCUGCUCAGUCAGCAGGGUGACCUCAAAAUUGUGGGAACACAUCAUACCAGACACACUCAAUUGCUAUUUGUGUUAAAAUUACACCAACACAACGGGUUGUUGUUAAAACUGUAGUUGCUGUAUGUUUAGAUUUAUUGAAGUAAUAAAGAAUUCGCUCUGCCGUCUUACGACAUUUUACUGGCAAAUUCUGCUCAAACUGGUUUGGAUCUGAUUGUAAUCAUUGUGUAGGCUGAAAACUGGCUGGAAUGUAUUAAAACAGAGCUUUCCGA